AGCAGGAAGACUUUGACGUAUGGAUCGGAUGUACCCCCCAUGUCCAGGGCGGGCAGUUCAGCAGCCUGGAUGAUUCCCACCAACAGCUGAAAGGGACAACAGCAAACGAGCAACACAAAGGAUUGUGAUCAUUGGCUGAGGAAUGAGAAAAGGAGGGAAGUACAUUGAGUUUUGAUCUUUAUAAGAGGCAUCAGUGCCCUAAUGGAAUGGCAGAAAAGAUCCCUCCUCUCUGAUUUUCCAUUUCCCAGAAGUUAAGAACUUCACUUAACAUUUUAGCCAUGCCUCUCUGAAGUUUAAGAAGAACUGAGUCAACAGAUGGGGGAAGCUGACUCAUGUAGCUCGUCCGUUUACAGAGUGUGCUACUUUUGAAUAGCAUGGCUGCAUAUCUGAGCAAGGGAAGACCAUUUAAAGAACUGCAGAACUGAAGUAAAUAACUAUUCACUUAUCAAGGUGGCUGAUGCAGGAAGAACAGGAAUUAUAUUAAAAUCACAUUCCAGGUAUUCAAUCACCUACAAUACAAAUCACAAUAGGACUGUC